rnacentral:rRNA from 1 species
UACGUAGGGGGCAAGCGUUGUUCGGAUUCAUUGGGCGUAAAGGGUGCGUAGGUGGCGGGGCAAGUUUGGUGUGAAAUCCCGGGGCUCAACCUCGGAACUGCACUGAAUACUGCCUUGCUAGAGCACUGGAGAGGGAACUGGAAUUUACGGUGUAGCAGUGGAAAUGCGUAGAUAUCGUAAGGAAGACCAGUGGCGAAGGCGAGUUCCUGGACAGUUGCUGACACUGAGGCACGAAGGCUAGGGGAGCAAACGGG